CUUCCUUUUUCUCUGUGCAUCCUCAGUGACGCGGGGCACAGCUCUGCCCGGGGGCCUACCAGAGCCCACCUGGACCCCACACUGGGUCAGCCCUGGUGCGGAGGAGGCCGCUGUAGGCGCGGCCAGGUCACAGUCGGCACCAGAAGUUUGGCAGAUCUCAGUGAGGCGUUAGUUUGCAUUUCCUUGUGACGGAGUCUCACUCUGUUGCCAGGCUGGAGUACAAUGGUGCCAUCUUGACUCACUGCAACCUCUGCCUCCCGGGUUCAAGCUAUUCUCCUGCCUCAGCUUCCUGAGUAGCUGGUACUACAGGCGUGUGCCACCAUGCCCAGGUUUUGACUGGAAUGCCAGGCUUAACGUUGCUCAGAAGUUGCUUCUAUGAGGACGUCUCCCAGCAGCUGUCAGUGUUUCCAAUGAGUCAUCGCCAGCCCCUGCAAUGAGCCUCUCAGGCUGGUAAGUUUUGUUUCAGAACCGCUUCCUCAAGCUUCUUUUGCCUUUAAAAGCUUCCUCUUGCCCCAGCCUCCCAGGGAAUGCCUGUGGUCUGUCAUGGCUCACACAUCCUGGUUGAUAAUCCACUGCUGUUCUCCACGGAAUGCCUUCAUUUUGAGAGCUGCUCGCUGCCUGUUGUGGUUUCAGUUGACGGCCCACCGCUGUGUGCAGAGUUCACCAGCCGCUGUGGUGUGCAGUGCAGCAGCUGACCUGCCUGCCUUGUGGUUUUCUAAUCCCAUUGAGGGGACGUCUUAGGUGUUCUCACCAAGAAUGCACAGCAACAGUGCUGGGUGGGCCACAUCCUCCCUCACGUUUGGUGCCACCAGUUUUAUAGAUUUUGGCUACUGUGGGUGUGUG
rnacentral:lncRNA from 10 species